ACUAUCCACAAAAUUUGCUUGGAUCGAAGUCUUGAAAAAUUCUCGAUCACACUUCCAUUAGUCUAUCACUAUCAGUUCUGUGUUAUAACGUGGAGAAGUAACGUAUUGGAAGCCAUAAUUUCAAUUAUAACACUUUGUGAGAUAAGUUACAAUUUGCAAAGGAGUAAUAGUCUAAUCAUUUGUGAACAGAUCAAAUUUUGUCGUAGUUUUUAUUAUUUUUAAAAUUAAAGUCAAUUUAUUUUUUCAUUUAAUAUUUAACAAACCUAAAAUAACAUGAAUUUUAUAGCAAAUAUCUGGAAGGGUACUGGUAGUGGUAGCAAUAAAGAAACGCGCAAAGAUGAGCUAGGAGUAGGAGGGACUUCGUCAGAAUCGAAAGUUCUCUGCAGUGAAGAAUCUUCAUUGAAACCUAAAGGAAACACCGAAAAUUUACUUGAGGAAGGCCGGACAGAGAGUACUGGAAGGAAAAGAAAAGAUAGCGGUAGUUCUGGCUCCACUUCUGGCCCAGAUUCUGAUUUAUCAGAAACUCCAGACAGCCCAGCAUUGAAGGAUGGUGCUGAUGAAACAGAAAAUUCAAAGCAAUCCAUUGGUGCUGGUACUGGUAGUAGCAUUGCAGGUGACCUGGAAGAGGUAUCGCAUAAAGCAAUUGAAUCAGCAAAGUCAUUUGGAAGCUUUCUCUUCUCUGUGGCCAACAAAGCUGGAAAGACUGUGUCAGAAACAGCUAAGCAGCUAAAGAAUAGUGUGGGUGAAAGUAGUCUGAUGGGGGACAAAGAACCUUCCAAAAAGUUUAAUUAUUCAAGUCUUCAAGACACUUCUAUACUUCCAUGGGUUGGGUGUGAAGAUGAAGAAAUGGUGAAAGAGCAGAUUUUGUCUUUGUCUCAGGAUAAGAAGAAUUUCUUACGUAGCCCUCCCUCUGGUGCUCAGUUCAACUAUGACCAUGAUAGUUUUCUUCCUAUAGUCAAAGCAUUAAUUGAAAAUGAUCCAAAUUUGGAGAGCAUGAAGCAGGAUUUGGUUCCAAAAUUAGUCACAGAGGAAAGUUUUUGGAAAAAUUACUUUUACAGAGUGUCUCUCAUCAAAAAGUCUUUCAAAACAAAUGUUCAAGCUGAAGGCAAAGGUAGCAGCAGUGAAGGUUCUUACAGUUCCUACUCAGUUUCCAGUUCUGAAGAAAGUGUUAAAGAGAAGCGGCAGAAUAUUCAUGAUUAUGAGGAGGAAAUGAAACUGCUUGGAAAAGAACCAACACCAGGGGAUGGUUAGUAAACAUAUCAUUUAACUGACAAAUUUAUGAAAACAUUCCUCUAAGUUCACUAUUGUAUUUUGCUGGAAAUAGAUAUUUGAUGUUAUGAAAAAAAAAUAUAGUAUCUAAAGGCUGUUGAUCCUUCAAAAAAACAAUGAAUUUGCUAUGUUAGUUUUAGAUAGUGUCUAAACAUUGAUUUGUGGCUGUAAAUUGUAUGUGGAACAUAGAUAUUUAAAGAUUUUUGCUUUAAAUUUUUGCAAACCUGGGAGUACUGAUGAUCACGAAUUACAAGGUUUUGAGGUGAUCCCUAAAAAUUUGAAGCUCUGAGGUUAUAACUGGAAGUAAUGUUUUUUUUUAAAGUUGACUAUCAUACACGUGAUAUUAUAUGUUUAAAAUUUUCUGAAAUUUCCUGUUUAUAAGAUUAUUACUUUGUAUUAUGAGGGCAGUGUAUAUUACUUAUAGAUAACUUAGGAAAUAUGGUAUGGACAACAUCUAUGACUUCCACCUAACACACUUUGUUGAGAACUAUUGUCACCUGGUAUCAGAAUCUUAGAAUUAAAUAUUUUGGAAAGACUUUUUUUCUUAAUGAAGUGUUUGAUUGUUGCAUAUAUAUUAAAUUUAUUAUGAAAACAACUUUCCAACUGUGAAUAUUUGUUAUUUAUUUUUCAUAUAUCAGAAUUGCUUUGAGAAUAGUAGACAAGGACUGACUUGUAUAUUUAUUGAGGUGAUACAGUUACAGAUUAGAAUAUUUCUUUUGUUGAUAAAUAUGCAAGUUCCUUCAUUAAGUGAAUGUGUUUAACAGAAGACAUUGCUCUUUAUUUUGAUUAGAUAUUGGAAUGCAUAGCCAGCAGGUAAAAUAGUGAUCUUGUUAAAAAAGAAAAUAUUUCAUUGUUAAUACAAUAGAUGACACCACUUUAUAACUGAAAACUUCCUGUUUGCCCAAAUUUGUAGCAAUAUUUUUCUCUUUUAUAAUUCAUCUUUAAAUUCUAAUGUCUACAAUUUCAGAAUUAUGAUGUAAAGUUUUGUUUUUGAAUUGUAUAUGUUAUGAAAAAAACAAAAACAUUCCUUUCUUUGUUAGAAAUUUUUGCAGAAUGGAUGUCAGCAAUUCAUUUAUUGAAAGUAGUUCUUUUGUUACAGAAGUGAGUGAACCUUUCUUGCUAUCUAGUCAAGUUACAAAUCUGAAAUGUGAUAUUUUUAAUUUGAGUACAUUCUUGUCUAUUUUGUUUGUUUUUAUUUCCCAACUGUCAGAUAUGCUUUGUGAAUAGUAGACAGGAGUUAAAUUAUAUUUUGUUUAUUGAUGUAUUACAGUUUAAUAAAGUUUUAAGGAAGGUGUUUUGAUCUGAAAUUUUUGAAUAUUGUGUAAAAAUAAAUCUUAAGAAAUAACUUUGUUUUUCAUUGAACUUUUCUUUAUAUAAUUUUAAAGAGUUUUCAAGAAUAUAAUGUAUGGCCAAAAUAUUUUUGGCCAUUUGGAGAAAGACUUGCCAGUUGGUACAAUUUAUGAAUUGCUAAUUUGCAGAAAAGUGUAAAAUUGUGCACAUGAGGAUGAAAUUGUGUAUUAUUUAUAACGUUGAGUAACCAUUUUUGUGUGUGUUAUCUGUAACCUUCAGCAACCAUUUGUGUUUGCUGUAUAAAUGGUUAUCUAGAUAAUGGCAGGGCGUCAAAAACCUUUAGAUAUUUAAUUUGGUGUUUUUCACUACAGAUAUGUAUAUUAUAAGUUAAAAGACCCUGGUUUUUGUUAAAAUGGAGCUAAAUGUUCUAUGUCAUUUAGUACAAAUGUUUGUAUGCAAUGGUUUUUGAGACUUAUCAAGCAUCGAAAAGGUUAAAUAAGCUUAGUUAUACUGAUGUUCUGUUACAAAAACUAAGAAGACUUUGUUUAUAUACAAUUUACAAAAAAUGUCAUUGUACAUUUUAUAAAUUUAUUGAACAUGAAGUAUUUUGAAGUUAAUUGGCAACUACCUAAUUUCUAUACUUAAAACAACUUUUUGUAAUGAAAACCUGUUUAUCCACCUUAGUAGCAUUAAAUAAUAUGCAUUCACAGUUUAAUGGUAUAUGAAACAUCACUUCUGAUAACUAGUUAUUGGCUUAAAAUUUGUUUUUUUUCAAAUUUCAUUUCUGAGAUAGGUUAGCAUUUUUCAUGCAUAUCUAGAGAUGGUGCCACCUGGAAGCAUUUUCUUGAUGUUCAUACUGAUAUUGUUUUGAAUGUGAAAUUGGAUAGUCCUAGUACGUAAUGGGUGAUUAUUUUCAGUUACAUAAAUUAUUACCAUAUAAAGCUAGAAUCCACAACAUAGAUUUAGAUAAUAGUUCCUUGUAACUGGUAUUUAUUCAAUUUUAUUUUAUCUUUUCUUUUACUUGAUGGUUUAGUAUAUUUAACUGUUGUAAUAAUUAAAUGUAGAUAUGGUUUGGAUGUGUUGUAUAUUAUAAAUGGAUAAAUAUCAGUGUUCAUAUGUGUUGUUAUAUCUUUUGCAUGCAUUUCUUCUGUGUGGUUGAAAUCAAAUUGUCAUUUUUUAAAUAGAAAGGAAUGGGUAACACAUUACAAACCACUAUAUGGUACAGAAUGUGUGUAAUUUUUAGGUUUACUAUUCAUGCUUAACAGUUCCUUUACAUUUCGUGUCUAAAUUUUUGAAAUGUACAACCAUUAAAUUUAUCAAGUAAAAUCUAAAAAUAUUAAGUAUAUCACCUUUCAUCUAGUAUUCUCUUGUUCAUACUUAUAAAAAAAAUUAAAGUCUGGUUUACAAAAUGGUAAAGUUAUAUUAUCUUGUAAAUGACUUCAGUAAUAUUUUCUCUCUACCAGUUUCCUUACAGUAUGUAGGGGUUAAGAGGUCUGUCAGGAAUGGGCUACAAAGUGAUUCCUCAGCAUAUUCCUUUAAGCAUUUUUUUUUCUGCAGUAUUUAACGAUGUGAGAGAUCAAUCUUCUUAGCAUUAUUUCUCUAGAAAUUGGUGAGGAAGACACCAGCUAUAGGUAACUACGUCUGAUCGACAAUAAUACGUGUAGUUUGAGAUUUUGACUUCAAAGUAAUAUUAAUAAUGGCAUCAUUAAAACAAUUGAUCGUGUAAGAGUUAUUGAUAACUUGUAAUAAUUUGAUAGAAUAUAUAUAUAUAUAUAUACAUAUAAUUAGGAAAUAAAAUUGAACCAAUCAUUUGAGAGUGGUAGAUUUGAUAUGAACUGAGGAACUGAACUGAUAAUUCUUUGUAUUAUCUUCACAUGUAUGAAAAUUAAAUAACUUAUUUUAGCCAGCAGAGUUCAUCACAUGCUCUAAUAAAUCAUGUACAGGUACUGGUUUCUUGGAAUUGACAUCUUGCAGCUGGGAUAGAUAUUGGUUCCGAACAUGAAUGUCUUAAGAUAUCAUUUGAGUGUGAUAAGUAUUUGUGACAGUUUUCUUUAUUUUAAGCUCCUUUUAUUAAAUGUAAUGUUUGUAUAGGAUUUGGUGUAAUAUUUCUUCCAUGAAUGUAAAUAAAAUAUUUAAAUCACUGA